rnacentral:rRNA from 1 species
CCUACGGGAGGCUGCAGUGAGGAAUAUUGGUCAAUGGGCGUAAGCCUGAACCAGCCAAGUCGCGUGAGGGAUGAAGGUUCUAUGGAUCGUAAACCUCUUUUAUCAGGGAAUAAAGUGUGGGACGUGUCCUGUUUUGUAUGUACCUUAUGAAUAAGGAUCGGCUAACUCCGUGCCAGCAGCCGCGGUAAUACGGAGGGUCCGAGCGUUAUCCGGAUUUAUUGGGUUUAAAGGGUGCGUAGGCGGCCUUUUGAGUCAGCGGUGAAAGUCUGUGGCUCAACCAUAGAAUUGCCGUUGAAACUGGGAGGCUUGAGUAUGUUUGAGGCAGGCGGAAUGCGUGGUGUAGCGGUGAAAUGCUUAGAGAUCACGCAGAACCCCGAUUGCGAAGGCAGCCUGCCAAGCCAUGACUGACGCUGAUGCACGAAAGCGUGGGGAUCAAACAGGAGUAGAUACCCCGGUAGUC